rnacentral:rRNA from 1 species
AGAAUCAACGCUGGCGGCGUGCCUAACACAUGCAAGUCGAACGAGAAAGUGGAGCAAUCCACGAGUAAAGUGGCGCACGGGUGAGUAACACGUGACUAACCUACCCUUGAGUGGGGGAUAACCUAGAGAAAUCUGGGCUAAUACCGCAUAAUACCUUCGGGUCAAAGGAGCAAUUCGCUUAAGGAGGGGUCGCGGCCGAUUAGUUAGUUGGCGGGGUAAUGGCCCACCAAGACUAUGAUCGGUAUCCGGCCUGAGAGGGGCGCGACGGACGACGACUGGAACUGAAACACGGUCCAGACUCCUACGGGAGGCAGCAGUGGGGAAUUUGCGCAAUGGGGGAAACCCUGACGCAGCAACGCCGCGUGGAGGAUGAAGUCCCUUGGGACGUAAACUCCUUUCGAUCGGGACGAUAAUGACGGUACCGAGAGAAGAAGCCCCGGCUAACUUCGUGCCAGCAGCCGC